rnacentral:rRNA from 1 species
CCUACGGGGGGCUGCAGUGGGGAAUAUUGCACAAUGGGCGCAAGCCUGAUGCAGCCAUGCCGCGUGUGUGAAGAAGGCCUUCGGGUUGUAAAGCACUUUCAGCGGGGAGGAAGGCGGUGAGGUUAAUAACCUCAUCGAUUGACGUUACCCGCAGAAGAAGCACCGGCUAACUCCGUGCCAGCAGCCGCGGUAAUACGGAGGGUGCAAGCGUUAAUCGGAAUUACUGGGCGUAAAGCGCACGCAGGCGGUCUGUCAAGUCGGAUGUGAAAUCCCCGGGCUCAACCUGGGAACUGCAUUCGAAACUGGCAGGCUAGAGUCUUGUAGAGGGGGGUAGAACGCCAGGUGUAGCGGUGAAAUGCGUAGAGAUCUGGAGGAAUACCGGUGGCGAAGGCGGCCCCCUGGACAAAGACUGACGCUCAGGUGCGAAAGCGUGGGGAGCAAACAGGAUUAGAUACCCCGGUAGUC